UUAGCGGCGGACGGGUGAGUAACACGUAGGCAACCUGCCUGUAAGAUCGGGAUAACUACCGGAAACGGUAGCUAAGACCGGAUAAUCAGUUUGGUCGCAUGAUCGGACUGGGAAAAGCGGAGCAAUCUGCUGCUUACAGAUGGGCCUGCGGCGCAUUAGCUAGUUGGUGGGGUAACGGCUCACCAAGGCGACGAUGCGUAGCCGACCUGAGAGGGUGAACGGCCACACUGGGACUGAGACACGGCCCAGACUCCUACGGGAGGCAGCAGUAGGGAAUCUUCCGCAAUGGACGCAAGUCUGACGGAGCAACGCCGCGUGAGUGAUGAAGGUUUUCGGAUCGUAAAGCUCUGUUGCCAGGGAAGAACGCUUGGGAGAGUAACUGCUCUCAAGGUGACGGUACCUGAGAAGAAAGCCCCGGCUAACUACGUGCCAGCAGCCGCGGUAAUACGUAGGGGGCAAGCGUUGUCCGGAAUUAUUGGGCGUAAAGCGCGCGCAGGCGGCUUUGUAAGUCUGGUGUUUAAACCUAGGGCUCAACCCUGGGUCGSAUUGGAAACUGCAAGGCUUGAGUGCAGAAGAGGAGAGUGGAAUUCCACGUGUAGCGGUGAAAUGCGUAGAGAUGUGGAGGAACACCAGUGGCGAAGGCGACUCUCUGGGCUGUAACUGACGCUGAGGCCCGAAAGCA
rnacentral:rRNA from 1 species